UGUCCGGAAAGAAAUCAUCGGGGCUAAUAACCCUGGUGGAUGACGGUACCGGAAGAAUAAGCACCGGCUAACUACGUGCCAGCAGCCGCGGUAAUACGUAGGGUGCGAGCGUUAAUCGGAAUUACUGGGCGUAAAGCGUGCGCAGGCGGUGCUGUAAGACCGAUGUGAAAUCCCCGGGCUUAACCUGGGAACUGCAUUGGUGACUGCAGCGCUGGAGUAUGGCAGAGGGGGGUGGAAUUCCACGUGUAGCAGUGAAAUGCGUAGAGAUGUGGAGGAACACCGAUGGCGAAGGCAGCCCCCUGGGCCAAUACUGACGCUCAUGCACGAAAGCGUGGGGAGCAAACAGGAUUAGAUACCCUGGUAGUCCACGCCCUAAACGAUGUCAACUGGUUGUUGGGGAUUCAUUUCCUUAGUAACGUAGCUAACGCGUGAAGUUGACCGCCUGGGGAGUACGGUCGCAAGAUUAAAACUCAAAGGAA
rnacentral:rRNA from 1 species